UUAGGUUAAGUUGAUAAGGGCGCACGGUGGAUGCCUUGGCACUAGGAGCCUAUGAAGGACGGCACUAACACCGAUAUGCUUCGGGGAGCUGUAAGUGAGCUUUGAUCCGGAGAUUUCCGAAUGGGGAAACCCAGCACGCGUAAUGGCGUGUUACCUUCCAGUGAAUACAUAGCUGGUCGGAGGCAGACCCAGGGAACUGAAACAUCUAAGUACCUGGAGGAAGAGAAAGAAAAAUCGAUUCCCUGAGUAGCGGCGAGCGAAACGGGAAGAGCCCAAACCAAGAGGCUUGCCUCUUGGGGUUGUAGGACACUCUAUACGGAGUUACAAAGGCAAGGGGUAGACGAAGCGGUCUGGAAAGGCCCACGACACGAGGUAACAGUCCUGUAGUCCAAACCCAUUGCCCUCCAGAGUGGAUCCUGAGUACGGCGGAACACGUGAAAUUCCGUCGGAAUCCGGGAGGACCAUCUCCCAAGGCUAAAUACUCCCUAGUGACCGAUAGUGAACCAGUACCGUGAGGGAAAGGUGAAAAGCACCCCGGAAGGGGAGUGAAAGAGAUCCUGAAACCGUGUGCCUACAAGUAGUUAGAGCCCGUUAAUGGGUGAUAGCGUGCCUUUUGUAGAAUGAACCGGCGAGUUACGAUUCCAUGCAAGGUUAAGUCGAGGAGACGGAGCCGCAGCGAAAGCGAGUCUGAACAGGGCGAAUGAGUAUGGGGUCGUAGACCCGAAACCAGGUGAUCUACCCAUGUCCAGGAUGAAGGUGAGGUAACACUCACUGGAGGUCCGAACCCACGCACGUUGAAAAGUGCGGGGAUGAGGUGUGGGUAGCGGAGAAAUUCCAAUCGAACCUGGAGAUAGCUGGUUCUCUCCGAAAUAGCUUUAGGGCUAGCCUCAGAUGUAGAAUCUCGGAGGUAGAGCACUGUUUGGACUAGGGGCCCAUCCCGGGUUACCGAAUUCAGACAAACUCCGAAUGCCGAUGAUUUGUAUCUGGGAGUCAGACUGCGAGUGAUAAGAUCCGUAGUCAAGAGGGAAACAGCCCAGACCACCAGCUAAGGUCCCCAAGUAACCGUUAAGUGGAAAAGGAUGUGGCGUUGCUUAGACAACCAGGAUGUUGGCUUAGAAGCAGCCAUCAUUUAAAGAGUGCGUAAUAGCUCACUGGUCGAGUGACGCUGCGCCGAAAAUGUAUCGGGGCUAAACGGUUCACCGAAGCUGUGGAUGCAUACCUAGGGUAUGCGUGGUAGGAGAGCGUUCUAAGGGCUGUGAAGCCUGACCGGAAGGACAGGUGGAGCGCUUAGAAGUGAGAAUGCCGGUAUGAGUAGCGAAAGAUGGGUGAGAAUCCCAUCCACCGUAUGACCAAGGUUUCCUGAGGAAGGCUCGUCCGCUCAGGGUCAGUCGGGACCUAAGUCGAGGCCGAUAGGCGUAGACGAUGGACAACAGGUUGAUAUUCCUGUACCACCUCCCCGCCAUUUGAGUGAUGGGGGGACGCAGUAGGAUAGGGAAGCGUGCGGCUGGAAGUGCACGUUCAAGCAGUGAGGAGUGAUGUGAGGCAAAUCCCGCAUCUGACACUCUGGGCUGUGAUGAGGAGGACGUAUGUCCGAAGUUUCUGAUUUCACGCUGCCAAGAAAAGCCUCUAGCGAGGCGGGAGGUGCCCGUACCGCAAACCGACACAGGUGGUCGAGGAGAGAAUCCUAAGGUGAGCGAGUGAACUCUCGUUAAGGAACUCGGCAAAAUGACCCCGUAACUUCGGGAGAAGGGGUGCUCUGACAGGGUGAAAGCCCGAGAGAGCCGCAGUGAAUAGGCCCAGGCGACUGUUUAGCAAAAACACAGGUCUCUGCAAAACCGUAAGGUGACGUAUAGGGGCUGACGCCUGCCCGGUGCUGGAAGGUUAAGAGGAGUGCUUAGCGCAAGCGAAGGUGCGAAUUGAAGCCCCAGUAAACGGCGGCCGUAACUAUAACGGUCCUAAGGUAGCGAAAUUCCUUGUCGGGUAAGUUCCGACCCGCACGAAAGGCGUAACGAUCUGGGCACUGUCUCAACGAGAGACUCGGUGAAAUUAUAGUACCUGUGAAGAUGCAGGUUACCCGCGACAGGACGGAAAGACCCCGUGGAGCUUUACUGUAGCCUGAUAUUGAACUUUGGUGCAACUUGUACAGGAUAGGUAGGAGCCUAAGAGCCCGGAGCGCCAGCUUCGGAGGAGGCGUCGGUGGGAUACUACCCUGGUUGUAUUGAAGUUCUAACCCAUGCCCCUCAUCGGGGCAGGAGACAGUGUCAGGCGGACAGUUUGACUGGGGCGGUCGCCUCCUAAAGUGUAACGGAGGCGCCCAAAGGUUCCCUCAGAAUGGUUGGAAAUCAUUCGUAGAGUGUAAAGGCAUAAGGGAGCUUGACUGCGAGACCUACAAGUCGAGCAGGGUCGAAAGACGGGCUUAGUGAUCCGGUGGUUCCGCAUGGAAGGGCCAUCGCUCAACGGAUAAAAGCUACCCCGGGGAUAACAGGCUUAUCUCCCCCAAGAGUCCACAUCGACGGGGAGGUUUGGCACCUCGAUGUCGGCUCAUCGCAUCCUGGGGCUGUAGUCGGUCCCAAGGGUUGGGCUGUUCGCCCAUUAAAGCGGUACGCGAGCUGGGUUCAGAACGUCGUGAGACAGUUCGGUCCCUAUCCGUCGUGGGCGUAGGAAAUUUGAGAGGAGCUGUCCUUAGUACGAGAGGACCGGGAUGGACACACCGCUGGUGUACCAGUUGUCUUGCCAAAGGCAUCGCUGGGUAGCUAUGUGUGGACGGGAUAAGUGCUGAAAGCAUCUAAGCAUGAAGCCCCCCUCAAGAUGAGAUUUCCCAUUACGCAAGUAAGUAAGAUCCCUCAAAGACGAUGAGGUAGAUAGGUUCGGGGUGGAAGCACGGCGACGUGUGGAGCUGACGAAUACUAAUCGAUCGAGGACUUAACCAAAA
rnacentral:rRNA from 1 species